GACGAACGCUGGCGGCGUGCUUAACACAUGCAAGUCGAGCGGUAAGGCCCUUUCGGGGGUACACGAGCGGCGAACGGGUGAGUAACACGUGGGUGACCUGCCCUCAACUCUGGGAUAAGCCUGGGAAACCGGGUCUAAUACUGGAUAUGACUCCAUGACGCAUGUUGUGGGGUGGAAAGCCUUGUGCGGCUGAGGAUGGGCCCGCGGCCUAUCAGCUUGUUGGUGGGGUGAUGGCCUACCAAGGCGACGACGGGUAGCCGGCCUGAGAGGGCGACCGGCCACACUGGGACUGAGACACGGCCCAGACUCCUACGGGAGGCAGCAGUGGGGAAUCUUGCGCAAUGGGCGAAAGCCUGACGCAGCGACGCCGCGUGAGGGAUGACGGCCUGUGU
rnacentral:rRNA from 1 species